GUCACUCUCCGCUCGUAUUAAUCGACCGUGGCAUCGGAAUAAAUGCCGAAUAUUAUCGCGAAAAUAUUAAAGCCUUGGACUAUUGUGUCUGGAGUAUUUUGGAAAGCAAGGUUGGCACUAAAAAAUACCAAAGUGUCGAUCACCUCAAGCAAGCGCUUCGCCGAGAAUGGGCCAAAAUACCACAGAGUAACAUUGGGGCAGCGUGUGACGGUUUCAUUGACCGUUUGAAGGCCAUAAUUCGUGUCAAAGGUGACCAAUUCGAACAAUUUUAAACUUUUUCUAAAAUUUGAUGCUAUUUCCGACAUUUUUUGCGUUCAUUCAAUAAAAUUAAAAAAAAAAUAAUAAUAAAAA